rnacentral:rRNA from 1 species
GAUGAACGCUGGCGGCGUGCCUAAUACAUGCAAGUCGAGCGAACGGACGAGAAGCUUGCUCCUCUGAUGUUAGCGGCGGACGGGUGAGUAACACGUGGAUAACCUACCUAUAAGACUGGGAUAACUUCGGGAAACCGGAGCUAAUACCGGAUGAUAUUUUGAACCGCAUGGUUCAAAAGUGAAAGACGGUUUUGCUGUCACUUAUAGAUGGAUCCGCGCUGCAUUAGCUAGUUGGUAAGGUAACGGCUUACCAAGGCAACGAUGCCUAGCCGACCUGAGAGGGUGAUCGGCCACACUGGAACUGAGACACGGUCCAGACUCCUACGGGAGGCAGCAGUAGGGAAUCUUCCGCAAUGGGCGAAAGCCUGACGGAGCAACGCCGCGUGAGUGAUGAAGGUCUUCGGAUCGUAAAACUCUGUUAUUAGGGAAGAACAUAUGUGUAAGUAACUGUGCACAUCUUGACGGUACCUAAUCAGAAAGCCACGGCUAACUACGUG